rnacentral:lncRNA from 1 species
GGUUACUGGGUAGAAAACCACAGAAAAUAGGACUUACAACUACCGGUUACUAGGUAAAAGGCCACAAGAUUCAUUGGGGGAAAAGAUGAACAAUUACUGAUUACUGAGCAAUUGAACAACUAAUCCACAGGGAACUGUAGGGGAUAACAAGAAAGGAGUCAGUCUAGGAACCAACUAGAAAGACACAAUCAAACAAGACUCAACCCGAUGAGGGCAUAACUCAGGGGAUUAAUUCCCAUCCCAAUACAAAACUGGGGAGGAAACUGAAACAAUAAUCAUCCACGAGGACAUAACUCAGUGGGGAAGAAAGAAGAAAAGAUAGACACUUUU